UCUUGAGUUUAUGGACUUCAGGGGGAGUAUGGUCACAAGGCUGAAACUUAAAGGAAUUGACGGAAGGGCACACCAGGAGUGGAGCCUGCGGCUUAAUUUGACUCAACACGGGAAGACUUACCAAGACCGAACAGUUGAAGGAAUGACAGAUUAAGAGUUCUUUCAUGAUUUAUUGGGUAGUGGUGCAUGGCCGUUCUUAGUUGGUGGAGUGAUUUGUCAGGUUAAUUCCGGUAACGAACGAGACUGAAACCUAUUAAUUAGUUUUCUGCCUAUAAGACAGAAAUGUUCGCAAGAACAGGUGCGUAAGUACCACUUCUUAAAGGGACACAUUUCAAUUGUCCUAUUUUAAUUGUAGUUAUCUAAUUCGGUUAGGACCUCUUA
rnacentral:rRNA from 1 species